rnacentral:rRNA from 1 species
UCCAGACUCCUACGGGAGGCAGCAGUGGGGAAUAUUGGGCAAUGGGCGCAAGCCUGACCCAGCAACGCCGCGUGAAGGAAGAAGGCUUUCGGGUUGUAAACUUCUUUUGUCAGGGACGAAGCAAGUGACGGUACCUGACGAAUAAGCCACGGCUAACUACGUGCCAGCAGCCGCGGUAAUACGUAGGUGGCAAGCGUUAUCCGGAUUUACUGGGUGUAAAGGGAGCGUAGGCGGCAGGGCAAGCCUGAUGUGAAAGCCCGGGGCUCAACCCCGGGACUGCAUUGGGAACUGCCCCGCUCGAGUGCCGGAGGGGCAGGCGGAAUUCCUAGUGUAGCGGUGAAAUGCGUAGAUAUUAGGAGGAACACCAGUGGCGAAGGCGGCCUGCUGGACGGUGUACUGACGCUGAGGCUCGAAAGCGUGGGGAGCAAACAGGAUUAGAUACCCUCGUA